CCUGGGCCCCGAGGCCUUCAGGACAGGGGUUCCCAGGGAGAACCGGUUUCUUCCUGGACAACUGGAAGAUGCUGGUGUCAUUCCCCAAGAUAAAGCUUCUAGGAAGAGGAGCAGACUGAAGGUGGAUGAAGGAAAUUGGUUUUGGACAUGAGUUUGAGAUACCUAUGUAACAUUAAGAAAAGUUUGGCUGAGAAAGAAAUGACUAAGAUAGAGAUGCAGAAACGGGGUUGAGCCAGCAAGAAGAAAGUUUUCUUUUAUGAAUGAGGAAACCUGAAUACAUGUCAUCAAGAGGAGACAAAGGAACUGGAAGACUGGAAAGAUCUGAAGGGAAGGGAGAGAGGGGAACUGAGGGACUCCAGGAUCCAGAGUGUACACUUACUGUGCCCUUGACUCCUGUGGUGGAGCCUCUGAUAAACUUGAGAACAAGCUUUCUGAUCAGUGAAAUACCAUUCAGAAUGCCAUGUUCUCUGGUCAUCGAUGCAACCACAAGUAGAAACAAAGUAUUUACUGUCUUAUCUUGCAUAAAUAAUAAGAGUAAGAAAGACAGCAAUAUGGAUGUUUGAUGCAAAAGAAAAAGAAAACAUGGUGUUAAUGUCAAGAAAACCUUAAAUUUACAAAAGAUACUAUUUUAAUAGUUUUGUAUCCUUCUAUACCUAUCUCUACACUGUAGCUUGGACUCACAAAAUACAUCACGGGUCACAAAUUCAAAUUCUAGUAAAGACCAAGAGAGUACCACAAAUGUACUAAGACGGUGUGAGAUCAGUGUCAGAAUGGCAAUGGAAAGUCAUGGGGCAGUUGAUGACCUUAAAAAAC